GUGGAUAUAAAGUAAGUUUAAUGGAUGAAAUGCCUGGUGAGAUUGUAGGAAUCAAGAUCUUCAAUGAAAAAGAACUUGGGCGCAUGUUUUGUUGAGAGUUUGACUCUUGGGUUAUCAACGACCUUGAACAAAACAAUGUAUUUCAUCAUGGGUACACUACUAGCAGUCCUCCCAUUGUUAAUGUAAGCAUUCACGUACAUUUACAUAUUUUUUAUCACACUUUCACUAAACAUGUUUAGUUUUCUUUAACCUGAGUCUCAUAAAUUUAUUAUUCAUGGACUGAGUUUUUGGAGAUUGUCCGAGAGUUUGAUCAUGAACAGAAAUGAGCAUUUAUGCGGUUUGUGACCAGGGCACCUCGACUUCCACCGGAGGGUUGGCAUCUCUCACUCUGAUGUUAACUACUGCCCGAAAGCAUUGAAGCGACCAUGCAGACAUAGACCUAGAAAGUGUCAUGACUUGUGUUAAUUAUCUGAAGCUACCUCCUUAUUCAUAAAAAGUAACUCAUUGGUUGUUUAUACUAUUUCAAUUUUAGAAACUGGUUUCUUUUGAGCCUAAUUAAUUAUUCUUCGACACUCUGUUGAAUUUAAGGAAAUAAUGAAAGAGAAGUUGUUAUAUGCCAUAACAAAGGAUCAAGGAUCUUUAUAUC